rnacentral:rRNA from 1 species
CGAUGAAGCCCAGCUUGCUGGGUGGAUUAGUGGCGAACGGGUGAGUAACACGUGAGUAACCUGCCCCCCUCUUCGGGAUAAGCCUUGGAAACGGGGUCUAAUACCGGAUAUUCAGUCUCUGCCGCAUGGUGGGGGUUGGAAAGAUUUAUUGGUGGGGGAUGGGCUCGCGGCCUAUCAGCUUGUUGGUGGGGUGAUGGCCUACCAAGGCGUCGACGGGUAGCCGGCCUGAGAGGGCGACCGGCCACACUGGGACUGAGACACGGCCCAGACUCCUACGGGAGGCAGCAGUGGGGAAUAUUGCACAAUGGGCGAAAGCCUGAUGCAGCGACGCCGCGUGAGGGAUGACGGCCUUCGGGUUGUAAACCUCUUUCGACAAGGAAGAAGCUUUCGGGUGACGGUACUUGUAGAAGAAGCGCCGGCUAACUACGUGCCAGCAGCCGCGGUAAUACGUAGGGCGCAAGCGUUGUCCGGAAUUAUUGGGCGUAAAGAGCUCGUAGGCGGUCUGUCGCGUCUGGUGUGAAAACCCGAGGCUCAACCUCGGGCUGGCAUCGGGUACGGGCAGGCUGGAGUGCGGUAGGGGAGACUGGAAUUCCUGGUGUAGCGGUGGAAUGCGCAGAUAUCAGGAGGAACACCGAUGGCGAAGGCAGGUCUCUGGGCCGUUACUGACGCUGAGGAGCGAAAGCAUGGGGAGCGAACAGGAUUA